rnacentral:ncRNA from 1 species
GAUGACUGGCUUACGGUGGCCAAGAGUUCAUAGUCAUGUCGCUUUUUGGCCUUUGAUGCCGGUCCUUCCUAUCAUUGUGAAGCAGAAUUCACCAAGCGUUGAAUUGUUCACCCACUAAUAGGGAAUGUGAUCUAGGUUUAGACUGUAAUGAGAUGAGUU